GGACACGGCCGGAGACGGGCCGGCGCGGGGUGGAUCUGCUCCGGCGCGACGACCGGAGGCGACGUGCUCGCGCGGGGCGGAUCCGCCACACUUUGGCUCACGCGACUCACUCGAUUCCCUUCCCAUUCCGCCGGCAGGCCUUCCGCCGCCCCAGCCCACCACCGGCCGCUCCUCCCCUCCGUCGUCCCUCUUCACCUGCUGGGUCCUCGCGGCUGGACGUCGUGGCCGAACUGGUGGAGCCGUCCAGCGGCGUCGCCGGCGCCGUGAUGUUGACCACUGCAGCAGCCUGAGAAGAGAGGCCGGAUGCACUGGUGAUGGUCGCCACUCUCCGGCUGCAGGCGAGGCGACAUGCUGCUGCACUCCACCUCCCCAACGAGCUGCUGCCCGUGAGGUCCCUCUCCUCCCAAGUUAGUUUUGCUCACCUGCUGGGUCCUCGCGGCUGGACGUCGUGGCCGUACUGGUGGAGCCGUCCAGCGGCGUCGCCGGCGCCGUGAUGUUGACCACUGCAGCAGCCUGAGAAGAGAGGCCGGAUGCACUGGUGAUGGUCGCCACUCUCCGGCUGCAGGCGAGGCGACAUGCUGCUGCACUCCACCUCCCCAACGAGCUGCUGCCCGUGAGGUUCAAAUCGUGUCGGGGGAGGAGGAGCCCAAGGGCGCGAGGUGUGGUUACCGGGAGACCGCCUCGUGUGGUGUUCCGGUGUUUGUGGUGCCCUCCGGUGGUGAUGUCCACCGGAGCUCCUGAUGCUGCUCUCGUCGAGUGGCAACGGUGAUGCCAUGAACGGGCUGCUGUUGGUUGAACCGCUGCCACGACAAGGAGGAUCAAGCUCAUCUCCUGAAGUCAGGUCUGCGUCUUGCUGGUCUUGUAUGGUAUUUUUCUCUGGCUGGCUCAAGUGCACGCAUAGAAGGUACUCGUGGUCUCCGCAUCUGAUAGCAUGUAUUGUGAGCUGCCUGGAGGCGGCGGUGGCUGGAUGACACAUUGCAAAGAAGGUUGUUCUCUGAAGACUUUUGAAUGAGGGAACUCGGUCAUUUCUUCUGCAUCAUCAUUGCAGGUUCCUAUUACACAGAGAGUGAAGUUCAAAUUUGUUGGAUUGAUUGGUGUGUCCCGGAUGGUACCACCGCUAGGGUCUCCCGAAGGCGGAAAUCAAGCAUGUGCAAUGUAUUUCAUUGUCACAAUAAUUGGUUCAUUUUCUAUUAUAAAAACAUAAGGGGUUGUUUGGAAGAAAAGGCAGGAGGAGAAUAAUAUCACUAAUUUUGUACGACUUCCAUAAUACCCAGUAAAAACACUUAGUUUGUUUCUUUGUAUGUGUUUAUGACGAAUACAAUAAAAAGGGCCUCAUUAUUUUAUUUAGCUCAUGUUACCAGCUUCUUAUUUCGGGUACUCAAAUUAUUGUUCUUUUUCUCCUACAGAGAUGUUGUAUCUACAUACUAUCUUCAUACUUUUGGCUUAAUUGAAAUCACUAUACCGUAGGAAAAUUAUUUUUUGUAUUGGUUGCUUAUUUGUCAUGCAUUCCUUGUUAGUGGAUCUUCCAACAUUUGUCGCACGAGGCUUUUCUUAUUUUUUAUAUCUUGGGAGGCUGUGCGCGUGGCGACCGACAACGAGCAUGGACAAGCUGCGAUGUUUAUGAUGUGUAAUCUGAUUGGGUGCCUUCAAAUUCUCACUCCCUGCCGAUGUUUGAUGCUGCUGCUCCUUUCCUACAUGAGGUAAUAUAACAAGCUUGAAACAUUUUUCCAUAGUUCAUGUCUUCAAUCAUGCCGAUUGUUCAUGUUCCUAACGAGAUGCAGCCUCAGUUCGCUGUCGACGUAAUGGUCCAGUUCGGUCUACCUCGCUGGAUAUUUCACACCAAAGGAUGCAGAGGACCACCUGCAGAUGUGUUUUUAGAUAAUGGCCUACAUGUGCUUAGCAGGAAGUAUGAACUAUGAGGUGGAAAGAAAAUCUCAUUGGUUUGGUUUGGUUCCUAAUUUCAGAGAGGUUCUUUCGUUUGCAGAGUUGAGGAUGUGGCACUGACAAUGGUUCUCCACACAAGUUCCAGAACUUGUGACUCUUGCCAUCAAUAGCACUAUGGGCCUCAAGAAUACCACACUUGAGGUUGGUAAUAUACCUGAUUCAAAUAUCAGAAACCAGUCAUUUGGGUAGCAGAGAGCAGAAUGAAAAGUUGGCUUGCAUUCCAGGUUCCAAGGCUCGCCGGGUUUUUUUUGCUGAUAAAGAGUUGCCCUCAUGUACCUGAUCAUCUAGGCGCAGAUGACGUCGCAGAAAGCUCAAGCGGAUGGACAAAGCAAGAAGAAAGCCUGGAUC